AACAAACGCUGGCGGCGUGCCUAAUACAUGCAAGUCGAACGGGGAAAGCUUUCGGGUGAGUACUAGUGGCGCACGGGUGAGUAACGCGUGGAUAAUCUGCCUUAGAGUGGGGGAUAACUAGUCGAAAGAUUAGCUAAUACCGCAUAAGACCACAAGAACUGCGGUUCAAGGGGUCAAAGGUUUUUCGCUCUAAGAUGAGUCCGCGUAAGAUUAGCUAGUUGGUGAGGUAAUGGCUAACCAAGGCGACGAUCUUUAACUGGUCUGAGAGGAUGAUCAGUCACACUGGAACUGAGACACGGUCCAGACUCCUACGUGAGGCAGCAGUAGGGAAUAUUGCACAAUGGAGGAAACUCUGAUGCAGCGACGCCGCGUGAGUGAUGAAGGCCUUCGGGUCGUAAAGCUCUGUCGCAAGGGAAUAACACAAUGAAUGUACCUUGCAAGAAAGGAUCGGCUAACUUCGUGCCAGCCGCCGCAGUAAGAC
rnacentral:rRNA from 1 species